AAGCUCGUAGUUGAAUUUCGGAAUCAAUGGAUUGGUCAUGCCGAUGGUGUGUACUGGUCAUAUUGGUUCUCACCUUCUAAGGAACCAUAAUGUCAUUUAUUUGAUGUUGUGGGGAAUUAGGACUGUUACCUUGAAAAAAUUAGAGUGUUUAAAGGAGGCUAACGCUUGAAUACAUUAGCAUGGAAUAAUGAAAUAGGACAUCGCAUUCGAUUUUGUUGGUUUGUAGGAUCGAUGUAAUGAUUAAUAGGGAUAGGUGGGGGCGCGAGUCGUUCUUAUAGUCAGAGGUGAAAUUCUUGGAUUUAUUGAAGACUAACUACUGCGAAAGCAUUUGCCAAGGAUGUUUUCAUUAAUCAAGAACGAAAGUUAGGGGAUCGAAGACGACCAUAUACCGUCGUAGUCUUAACAAUAAACUAUGCCGACUAGGGAUCGGAUGAUGUUGAUUUUUUAAUGACUCAUUCGGCACCUUACGGGAAACCAAAGUGUUUGGGUUCCGGGGGGAGUAUGGUCGCAAGGCUGAAACUUAAAGGAAUUGACGGAAGGGCACCACCAGGCGUGGAGCCUGCGGCUUAAUUUGACUCAACACGGGGAAA
rnacentral:rRNA from 1 species